UACGUAGGGGGCAAGCGUUGUCCGGAAUUAUUGGGCGUAAAGAGCUCGUAGGCGGUUCGUCGCGUCGGCUGUGAAAACCCGGAGCUCAACUCCGGGCCUGCAGUCGAUACGGGCGGACUCGAGUUCGGCAGGGGAGACUGGAAUUCCUGGUGUAGCGGUGAAAUGCGCAGAUAUCAGGAGGAACACCGGUGGCGAAGGCGGGUCUCUGGGCCGAUGACUGACGCUGAGGAGCGAAAGCGUGGGGAGCGAACAGGA
rnacentral:rRNA from 1 species